UUUGCUUUUCUUCUUAUAAAUUUUUGGUUUCUUAAUCUUCUCACUCUUUUGUUUUGAUUUUUCAGAUUUUGAUUUUCUUAUUUUUCUCACCCCUUUUCCCCUUAAUUUCGUUUCUAUUGGAGGUAGAUUUGUUGUCAAUUCUUGGGUGAUUUCUGAUUUUUUUCUUAGUUUAUUAUAAAAUUUUCUACUUGCAUGUUCUUAUGGCUAUACUAGAAGUUUCUGCACAGUUUAUCUCGCUUGUGCCUUGUUAUUCUUCUUUUGGACAUGCAUAUAUAUUUGUUUGAGCAAAGUGUUUCUAAUCAUUAGUUAUAUCGCUACAGCAUAUAGUUUGGAUGUGUGUGUUGGUAUGGGUUUUAAUAUGCUUUGGUCCAAAUAGCUCGCUUGAAUGUAUUUUUUUUAUACUUUUGCUUUGCUUGGUAUCAUCAUAAAUGAAAUAACCAAAUUGGUACAGAGGAGAACAUUUUCCAAGCAAACAUCCAAAGAGUAGAGUACUAGCUAAUACAAAUAUUGUGCAUCACAGAGUAUAACCAAAAGAAAUCGACUCAAGGAUUCAUACAUCAUGAUAAAACUACCGUCCAAAAAGAAUAAUUGGGGCAUUUAGAGAGAGAAAGAAGAUAACAAAAGGAAAGCAUAUUGAGACCGGACAACAUUACCAUAGACAGAAAAUGCAAGGUGUUUGAUGAUAUCCCUCAUACCUAUGUUGUUCGGACUCUUUACAAAUGCUGACAGGUGCGUGUCGGGUCCUUCAAAAAUAGUAUAUUUUUGAAGGAUCCCACACCAAUGCAGCAACACUUUUUGAAAGUUCGGGCAACUUAGUCUCAUACUACUAACAAUGUUUUUUUUCUUUUGAAAUUUCAAGAAUAUUUUGAUAUAUUGUGCAACCAUUUGAUAGGUACAUCAUCAUGAUUAAAAGAAAAUUCAAAAAAGUACUUUCUAUUUUUCUACUGAAUAACCUUGAUAAAGUAAAUACUAUGCACUGAAACUUAUACAUAUAUGUUGGGAUCCUCUGUGAACUAAAGAAUUACUAAGUGUAGUCCUAGUGCUAUUUUUAAAUGAUCAGUAAUUUAUUAUACAGUCCAUGUUGCAAGAGAAGCUUUGAAGAAAUGAUGAACUUUUGAUCCAUAGAAGCUUUUUGGAGUUACCUCAUUGAAUGUUGUGAGAAACAAUACUUUCGUGAUAAGGCGUGCAACUAUCCCUUGCCUCAAUGAUGUUCGCUCCUCGGGGACAACUAAAUUCAAAGAGGCACUGAUGGGGUGUCGAAUGAACAAUCUACUGGUCUGUCUUAUUUACGGAAAAGAAGAUCUAUGGGGGACGCCUAUUUGGGGUUUACAAGUGAAACAUCAGUUCCCUAAAGCUCCAUAUUAUCAGAUUAGUCCGGUUGCUCACUGCCCCCAUGACGAAGUCCCAGAGGAGAAAAAGAACUCAUCUUCAGAGUUUCCAUCAAGUAUUUUGACAUUUCAAGCAGAAGAUAGUUCUAGAUAUAUGUAAACAGGCUUGUAAUAACAUUACAAGAUAUAUUUGAUUUCUUUUCUUCGUUUAUGCUAUAACUUUUAACAUUAAUGUUGUACAUGUUACUAUAGUUCUGCCUGGAGGCUCGUUACUCCCUUUAU